rnacentral:rRNA from 1 species
ACGGAGGGUGCGAGCGUUAUCCGGAAUUACUGGGCGUAAAGAGCACGUAGGCGGGGACGUAAGUCGGGUGUGAAAGACCGAGGCUCAACCUCGGGAUGGCACUUGAAACUGGGUUUCUUGAGUGCAGGAGAGGAAAGCAGAAUUCCUGGUGUAGCGGUGAAAUGCGUAGAAAUCAGGAGGAAUACCAGUGGCGAAGGCGGCUUUCUGGACUGAACCUGACGCUGAGGUGCGAAAGCGUGGGUAGCAAACAG